AUUGAACGCUGGCGGCAGGCUUAACACGUGCAAGUCGAGCGGAGAUGAGGUGCUUGCACCUUAUCUUAGCGGCGGACGGGUGAGUAAUGCUUAGGAAUCUGCCUAUUAGUGGGGGACAACAUUCCGAAAGGAAUGCUAAUACCGCAUACGUCCUACGGGAGAAAGCAGGGGAUCUUCGGACCUUGCGCUAAUAGAUGAGCCUAAGUCGGAUUAGCUAGUUGGUGGGGUAAAGGCCUACCAAGGCGACGAUCUGUAGCGGGUCUGAGAGGAUGAUCCGCCAGACUGGGACUGAGACACGGCCCAGACUCCUACGGGAGGCAGCAGUGGGGAAUAUUGGACAAUGGGGGGAACCCUGAUCCAGCCAUGCCGCGUGUGUGAAGAAGGCCUUAUGGUUGUAAAGCACUUUAAGCGAGGAGGAGGCUACUGAGACUAAUACUCUUGGAUAGUGGACGUUACUCGCAGAAUAAGCACCGGCUAACUCUGUGCCAGCCGCCGCUGUAAAAC
rnacentral:rRNA from 1 species